ensembl:lncRNA
CUUUCCUUUAUUUUUUUUCCCCUUUACCCAUUGUACUGCCUCCUAUUUCACUGUCUGCUGUCUACCAGCGCCUAAGGAAACUGUGAUUGGUAAUUACUGGUGCCUGGUGCUGCCCAGCCUGCAACAAAAUUGCUCAGUGUGAAAGCUACUUUUAGAAGACAUUUUGGAAGACAGGAAGGCCAGAUACUUCAGGCAAGAGGCAUAAUGACUUGGGGCACAGACCACUAAAAAAAAAAAAUCAAUCCUGAAUCCCUGAGGCUUCUGUACUCUUGUUGAGAAGGCAGAACCUAGUGUUUCAUCAAAUUUUUUGUGAUAACCAUUGAUGACGUUGCAGAAACCAUGAUAAUGUAAAAUAAUGGAUUAAAUUUGUAUGAGCAUAACUGUAGUGAUGAAACAAUUUAAACUCAUUUCUGAAGGCAUUCAUGCACUGGUGCUUGCUCAGGGUGUGAGCUAGAAGGCCACUAUCCCUUCAAAAUUAGACAGAGAUGUUGAUGACCAUUCUCAGUUAUUAUACUUCUAAAUUACAGCCUGUCCUCAUCCUUGAAGAUCAAAAAGGGAGUAAUUUCUGUUUUACAGGAGAUUACUCGCACUACAAGUCUAACUCUUGUUCACUUUGAGGUACUUAAAUAAAUCUGGAGCCCUGGCUGUAGGACAGACAGACAGUUCCAGUGGGAAAAUCAGCUCUGAAUUUCAUAAUGGGAAUUUCAUUCAUUUUCUGAAUGUGUUCAUCCUUAUCCAUUAGCCCAGAGGACCCAGGACUAGCAGACGCCUUUGAAAUUCAGCCCACUGCCUCAGGUUAGAUUAAAUGAAUCCAUAGUUCUGAUCAGCAGAGUUAAAAAAAAAAAUACAAAACCCAAACCAACCAAAAAGCACAACAACCACAUACCAUAUAAUAAUAUGGAAGGAAAUAAAGGACAAGGGAUAUUUUUAUUUGUGCAGCUGACCAGAUAUUUCCAUCUUUGGAUUGCUCCCUCUGCUGCCUGCAAGGUAGCUGGAGGGGAGCUAGCAAAGCUACCCAGGUGGACUCUGCAUCCCUCUUCCUCGCCCAACUCCCAGCAUUAGAGAUGCCGACAGUUACUAGAUAAAGUUAAAGACUCAUGUAGUGAUCUUCACACUAAUUGGACUGUAAUGUAUAGCCUCGGUCAAGCAAAUCUCUCCCAGCACUCCUCUCCACAGACGGCAAUCAAGCCAUUUACAGAAGAUGCAUCGGCUGCUGGGACCCUGGAGUAACCUUAAACUACGCUGGCCUUUUAGCAGAAAACACAAUUAAUUUUGAUACUGAAGGGCAAUUAGGACUGGGGUUAAAAUAAAAAAUCUUCUGAACAGAGAAUGUCAAAGACUGGUAAGGAAACUAUUUCCCUUGUACACAGCUUGUUGAAGGUCUGUAAGCACGGCGACUGUCAGCUCACGUUAAUUCAUAUCACUUUGAAAACCUCUCAUUUCAAUGUAGGAAAUAUAAAUUCAGAUUAAUAAGCACUGUGCUCAAACCUCACUAAGACUGAUGGCUGUUUUCUUUAAGUCUUUUGCUGCUGAAAUGAGCACAGCUUCUCCCUCUUGCUGGGGAAACCUGUUUUACAUCCCAGAAUGUAGUGAAAUGACCAAAUGCAUUUAUUUUGUUCUGUUUCAUUUCUAAAAGAAGAUAGUCUCCCAGAUGACACUCUGCAGAUCACGGCUGAGAGCAAAUCUUGUCAGCAACUCUGUAAACUACUCUUUAGAAAUACAGAAGAUGUUCACAGUAAUACAUAUCUACAAUGCACCCACAUGCCCUGAUGCAUGUGCAAGGCAGCCAAAAUUUUGACCUCGCCUGCACGAACUGCAUAGGUCGAUGCCCCUCUCAAUAAGUCAAGCAAAUGCACCAGAUCUUCCAAGUGUAUACUAAGGAGGUUUACCAGCCAGUGGUACCCAUGCAACAAAGUCAUCACAACUCCUGCAACAAAUCCUAUGGCCUUGACUUUGAAAAUCUGUUCCUGCUUUGGUCCAGGCUUAGUAGAGGACUUUCUUUUCUCCAUGACCUCCAAAGUGCUAUCAGAUGUCUGAGGUUCUCUUUUCUGUUUAAAGGACACUCCAAUUUGAAGAGAACUGUUUUCUCAUCUCAGGCUCAGGCAGCCAUCCCACAAGCUUUACUCGGGAAACCACUAACUGAUGUUAGAUUUACACAGUGGGUAGUUUUUAUCUAUGUUUUUCUUAAAAGCAGCAUCCUGGGGGAAUCUCUCAGUGGCAAAACCAGCACAAGCAGCACUAACAGUCAAUAGAGCAUCUGAGGAGUUCGCAGGGUUAAAUCUAUUGUUUCCAGGGUUUGAUUCAAUCUCUAUUUUGUCAACCUGUUUAAGUUCCAGGCCCCAUUCCCACCAGCUACAAAGAAGGGUGAAGAGCCCGGAGAAAACUCAUUUGGGCUUUUUAAGUACAACAUGAUUCAUAUUUGUGUGCAGCCUCUGUCAUGGGCUGUGCUCUGCCCACUGCCAGAAACCAUGUCAUCCUCUCAAUCUUGUGCCAGAGGGGGCAGGUGGACAAGAUAACUUAAUAGCUCUUAUUCAUUUGAAAUUUCUGUGGUUAUAGGGUAGGUCACCUUGUUCAGCAAGAGAGGGAAAGCAUGUAAAUCUUCAGCCCAAACUCAAGCUCUGGUGUAAGCAACUUUCAGAGAAGCUGAACCUAUAAUCCUUCUCUUAUUAUCUUGUAAUUUCUUGGGGGCAUUCCUUUACAGAAGAGCGAUGCAAAGGCUCCAUCAGUAAUGAAAACACAAAACAAAAAUAAUCCACCACGUUCACACACAUGACACGAAAGUGAAAACUCCCACCAGUGACUUGAGUGAGGG